rnacentral:rRNA from 1 species
UACAGAGGUCUCGAGCGUUAAUCGGAAUUACUGGGCGUAAAGGGCGCGUAGGCGGUCGUGACAAGUCACUUGUGAAAUCUCCGGGCUUAACUCGGAACGGUCAAGUGAUACUGUCGGACUAGAGUACAGAAGGGGCAACUGGAAUUCUCGGUGUAGCGGUGAAAUGCGUAGAUAUCGAGAGGAACACCAGAGGCGAAAGCGGCGACCUGGACAGAUACUGACACUCAACUGCGAAAGCGUGGGGAGCAAACAGG